GACGAACGCUGGCGGCGUGCUUAACACAUGCAAGUCGAACGAUGACGCCGGAGCUUGCUCUGGUGAAUUAGUGGCGAACGGGUGAGUAACACGUGAGUAACCUGCCCUUGACUCUGGGAUAACUGCGGGAAACUGUAGCUAAUACCGGAUACGACCCUCGGAGGCAUCUCCUGGGGGUGGAAAGAAUUUCGGUCAAGGAUGGACUCGCGGCCUAUCAGCUAGUUGGUGAGGUAAAGGCUCACCAAGGCGACGACGGGUAGCCGGCCUGAGAGGGUGACCGGCAACACUGGGAGUGAGACACGGCCCAGAAUCCUACGGGAGGGAGCAGUGGGGAAUAGUGCACAAGGGGAGCAAGCCUGAUGCAGCAACGCCGCGUGAGGGAGGACGGGGUUCGGGUUGUAAACCUCUUUUAGCAGGGACGAAGCGAAAGUGACGGUACCUGCAGAAAAAGCACCGGCUAACUACGUGCCAGCCGCCGCAGUAA
rnacentral:rRNA from 1 species